rnacentral:rRNA from 1 species
AUCUGGGCGGCGAAAUUCAGGAUGGCUGGGCUGGCCUCGCGUCAGUGCGGCCGUUUGAUGUUUACGUCGCCACACGCAGACGUCGCGACCUGUUCGUCGUCGGUCCCUGCUCGGAGGAAUCGCUGUCGAGUUCGUUGUGGGCGCGUUUCGGCGCGUUUCACGGCGAAGACGCGGAUCUCUGGCCGACGACGGACAGUAAGCAACGGUGUCCGGCGUCGUGUCUCGCACGCGGCGUCGGUGCCGGUCAGCGACGAUUUCUUCGGGCCUCUUUCCGACCCGUCUUGAAACACGGACCAAGGAGUCUAACAUGCGCGCGAGUCGCGGGGUAUCGAGCGUACCACGGUGCGCUCGUUACAUCUCGAAACCCGUAAUGUUGAAGGCGUAAUGAAAGUGAAUGGGGAAGAUGGCGUUCCGAGUACACGUUCCGUGAUCCAGUAUCGCGGCCGGACGCCCGCAUUCCCGGGGCGUCUCAACGGCUCGUCGCGGAUGCGGACGGUCGCCUUUCGGGGCGGCCGUCGGUCUGCGACGGACCGA